rnacentral:misc_RNA from 1 species
UAGGUUGCACCACCAUACUCUGAUG